AGAUCACACCACUGCACUCCAGCCUGGUGAGAGAGGGAGACUGCAUUCUCAAAAAAAAAAAAAAAAAAAAAAAAAAAAAAAAAAAAGAAUAUAUAUGAAUUCUUACUGAUAGUAUUAAAUGAUUAUCUCUUUACAUUCACAGUAAUGUCUUACAAUAACAGAAUGCAGGAGAGCACAUAUCAAUGAAGAAAAGACAAAAUGUACUUAUCCAUGAAGCUGAGGUUAAGAAACCAGUGUCUUCAAGAGCCAGGGACAGCACUGGGUCUGUGCAGAGUUGAGAGAUGGUGAUGACAUGUGGUUUCCAGCAUUCCUCACCCAGUCCAGGGACACUGUGGGUGUGCCCAGCUUAAGUCCAGUAACUGGAAAUACAAGCCCAAGUUCUGGAGAGUUUGAGCUGCAGAGAUAUAUAUGGGAACACUUUGAAUCUUGACUCAUUGGCCAUAACCAGCAGAGUGGAAAAUACAAGAAGAGAAAAAAACAUUGAACUGCGAUUUUAUAACAUCCUUUACUAGGCAGAGAGAAGAGGAAACACCAGGAAAGAAAACUGUAUUACGAUGUGAAAACUUAAUGUUGAGAAAUUCAGGCAUCUUGGGGUUAGUGAGGAGAAGUUUUAGGGGCUUAGAUUCUUCUAAACACAUGUACAGAAAUGCAUAUUUCAUCUGAUAUCAAAUGGCAUUUAUAGUGCUAAUCUUUACCUCAAGACUUCACAUCUUUUGGUGAUUGCAUCUUUUAGGUUUAUAGCAGCUAAGUUUGCAUGAAAACACCAGGGCUGUUUCAUUUCAGUCAAGAAUUAAUGUUCAUUGAUUGUGCUUCUGCAUUUCAUGUAACUAUUGUAGAAUUUGUUUUAGUUUUAUGAGGGAAUAAUUGUUCCAACUUCUAUAUAACUCAGGAAUUUACUCUCAAACAACACUGUCAAUUAGUUACUUAUCUCUCUGGAAAUGAUCUGGGAACAUGGAGAGGAAAGGGAGGAAGGGGCAAAAUCUGACCACUUAAAUCUAAGCAUAUUAGAUCAUUUUAUGCUAGAAAGUCCUGAAUGAUGUGACUUUCGUUCUUGUAAAACACCUCUUUCCAUAGAUUCAUGGCCCAAACAGUAUAUAAAGAGUGGGGAAGGAACUGCAUUUGCAAAUAGUUCAAAUCAUUGCUCCAUCUUAACUACGCAGUUCACAAAGUGUGAAGAAAUGUGAUCAUCUCAAAAAAGAUAAUGGGGAAAAAAUAUGUUUUGUUCUGUGACUUUAAAGUCUUGCAAUAUUUUACAUAAAUGAUAAUGGGUGCUUUAAUAAGAACUCUUGAUACUUUUGUUAUUGUAUUCAAUAUAUGCAUAUAAUACAACAGGAUGAUAUUGUUUUGGAUUUGGAAAUGUAUUCUUUCUUAUGCAAUCUUAUGCAGUCAUACUGCUUGAAUAUCAUUACCUGAAUUUAUCUUUCUUUUUUUUGUUGUUGUUUUACACUCUACUUAUUUGGUGCCUGUCAGUCUUUUGUCGUCAGUUUAUAUUCUACUAAACUCAAAAAGACAAUCUCAUACCUUUUGUAAUUGUAGGCAUUCUUUACUAGAUUUUUAAAUACACUUCAAAAAUUCAAGUACUUUGAUUUCAUGCCAUCAAGUAGCUGAAUCUAUCCCCCCGUCUCUUUUUAAAUUUAAGUGAGUAGUUCAAUUUCUGUCACUUUCUACUUUGUGAAUUCUAAAUCUUUUAAAACCAUCUUGCCAUUUUUCGUGCACUUACCCUUACAGAAAACUCUGUGAAACACUACUUAUCUCUACUUUUAUGUUUUUAACUCCUUUUUUAUAUUACUAUUCCCUCUGCUUUCUAAAUGCACAUAUUAAUUUGUUCUUUUUAUUCUCUGUAGCUCUUCUCAGUGUAUGAAUUCAGUUUCCCAUCAGUCUCCAUACAAUUAAAAAAAAGUUGAGUAUUCUGUUAUUUUAAUAAGAUAUCUAGUGCCCAUAUUCUAAUUCUGCCCCUUAUUUUUAAUAUAAUUUUAUUGUUGAUUUAAAAUGACAACAGUUUCAAUUCCCAGAAAGUGAAAGGAAACAAAGGAAUAAUAUUAUAGGCUUAAUUUUUAUCAGUGAACUUGUAGGUGAAGAAAAGAUUUGGGGAAGGAAAUGAACAUAUUAUAUUGCAAAAUAGUAAGGAACAAUCAGAUGUGUUUUCUAGUCUCUGGAAAAGCAUGUUUCAAGAAAUUCAAUGAAAAGUUCAUCAUGCUUGCUUAGAUUGUUGAGAAGCAAAAACACUGAUGAACAUUUGGAAGCAAUGAGAAUGUAAUUCUAAUCAUACUCUUUUAAUAAUGUUGCAAAACUCUCCAAACACUACUCUGUGUGGAUGUCUUUCAGAAUAUGAUGAAUACUAGUAGUCUUAUUCUGCCCUUUUCUCUCUAUCACAAUAUAUACAUUCUAUAUUGCAUACACAUAUUUUCCAAAUAUUACAUAUAAUUUCAUGUAAUUUAUAGACCUAUUAAGGCCCAACCAUUUUCUUGGAUAGGGGAUUCUUUAGAAGUCCAGCUUAAAUAAAGCCCGUAUAGAAAGUUUUUUUAAAAUUUAUACAUAAUCACCUAAAGUAACCUUAUCUACUGAACUCUUAGUACAUGCUACUGGAACCUUUUAUCAUGUUUCUUCCUGGCUUGCAUUACAACACUGUUGACAUAUCUCAGCCUUACUUCUAGGCUUCUUUGAGAGCAUGACUCAUGUUUGUAUUCCUCACUGAGGUUGAAUGAAUAAGAGAAACUACAGUAGUAGGAAAAAACAGUACAUGUACAUAUCAAUGAAUAUGAAAGGGUCAAAUGGAUCUAUUAUAGUAAGCACAAAAUCAACUGACACCAGCAAAGUAAACCCAAAAUUUUUAAUGGUAUUUUAAUAGAUCAAGAGGAGCAAGCAGAUUUUUGAGACAGUUGUCUCCUACUUUCUCUAUCACAGGGAGUAAUUUUAAAAGAAAAAUGGAGGGUAAGUUUCUUUAAGAGAAAAUUGUAGUUUAAAACAGGUCAUGGGAUAAUUAGAAAUAAUUUAAUUUCUUUAGAGGAUUUUAAUCUUUCAACUGCUUGCAAUUAGAUCCUAAGGCAAUAAAAGAAUAAGGAGAUUUGGAAAACCAUUGUCUGUAAUCUCUGAAGAAAAGUGGACAUUAGGGGAGUCAGUUGAAAAGCAAAGCUAUCACCAUUUUCUAAAGAGGAAAAAGGUGAACCUCACAAACUAUAGACCAAAAAAAUAGGACAUCGAGAGAAAGAAUAUGAAGCUAGCAUAGGUUCACAAAGAAUGAGUCAAAUCAAACAACAUGCAUUUUUUAUUUAUAAAGCAUGACUUGUUCAUUGUCAAUUCAUGUUAGCUUAAUCAUUAGGCAUUAAUGCCAUCACUGCAAUGCAUAUGUCAGCAAUAAAUAAUCAAAGACCAGGCUUCCAUCAUUCUGUUUAAUAUCUUCAAGUAAUGCUUAAGUUUGCAAAUGCUCUUUUAACACAUUCUCCAUAUGCAGCCUGCCCAGCACUGCACACAAUAGACCUGUUACUUCCCCCUCACGAGCACUCCUAAUAUUUCAUGUGCUCAUCCAAUUGACUUCUCCCACUGGUGCCUCAUAUUGAAUUUGUAGAAUCACACCUGCUCCUUUUUCAAAACUCUUCUGAGUUUUUUCUUAAAUAAUUCACUGACCCCAAAGUUGUCAGAUAUUUGAAGACUACUCGCACAAUUUUAAUAUUAUAAAUGUAUAAUGUAAAUGUAAUUAAGAUUUGUAUAAUGUACGAUGUACUUUGGUAAAUAAAAGUAUGCUGUGAAUAAAUACGUAUGAUACAAUUCAAAAUUUUACAUAAAUAUGUGAUAAAAUUUAGCUCAUAUUCUUUUUUUUUUUCUUUGAGACGGAGUCUCACUCUGUUGCACCCAGGCUAGAGUGCAGCAGCAUGAUCUCAGCUCACUGCAACCUCUACCUCCUGGGUUCAAACAAUUCUCCUGCCUCAGCCUCCUGAGUAGCUGGGAUUACAGGUGCCCGCCACCAUGCCCAGCUAAUUUUUUUCUAUUUUUGUUGUUGUUGUUGUUUUUAGUAGAGACGGGGUUUCACCAUGUUGGUCAGGCUGGUCUUGAACUCCUGACCUCAGAUAAUCCACCUGCCUCGGCCUCCCAAAGUUCUGGGAUUACAGACGUGAACCACGGUGCCCGGCCUAGUUCAUGUUCUUUAAGGACAAUUAUGAAUAUUUUUAUGCACUGUUAAUUUUCAUUAAGAUAUUGAUCAAUUAAUAGCUAUAUAUGUUCUAUAAAUUAAUCCUAUCUAGUUUCAAUCUUAAAUUGUUUGCAUAUACCAAUCUAGUUUAUUGUUUGCAUAUAUUUUAUAGUGUAGAGAUUAGGCAUUUUAAUAAAAUUUUAAAAUUUCCAGGACAUACUGUUAAUGACUAUGCUUCCUACUAUAGGCCAUAAUUAAUUUUUUUCUAUUGUCAACAAUAUUUUGGUAGGGAUGAUCAGGAAAUAAGGAAAUGUUUCCUUCAUUUGUUAACAAUAGGUGUUUGGGGAUUUUAAAAUGAAAAUUGAAGAAGUAAAAGACA
rnacentral:lncRNA from 1 species